rnacentral:rRNA from 1 species
AUACGUAGGUGACAAGCGUUAUCCGGAUUUACUGGGCGUAAAGGGCGUGUAGGCGGUCUUACAAGUCAGAUGUGAAAUUCCCGGGCUCAACUUGGGCGCUGCAUCUGAAACUGCAAGACUUGAGUGCUGGAGGGGAUAGCGGAAUUCCUAGUGGAGCGGUAAAAUGCGCAGAGAUUAGGAAGAACACCGGUGGCGAAGGCGGCUAUCUGGACAGUAACUGACGCUGAGGCGCGAAAGCGUGGGUAGCAAACCGGAUUAGAUACCCUGUUAGUCCACGCUGUAAACGAUGAAUACUAGGUGUAGGGGGUAUCGACUCCCUCUGUGCCGCAGUUAACACAAUAAGUAUUCCGCCUGGGGAGUACGGCCGCAAGGUUGAAACUCAAAUGAAUUGACGGGG